GGAGGUGUAUCGAAGUGGUCAUAACGGCCCUGACUCGAAAUCAGGUAGGGUGAAAGCCCUCGUGGGUUCGAAUCCCACCGCCUCCGCCA
rnacentral:tRNA from 1 species